CCUUCUAUGGUGCAGUUGGUAGCACCUUGGCUUAGGAAGUAUAUAUCUAAGGUUCAAGUCCCUGUUGGAGUA